CCGGCCAAAUGAUCCCGUUGGAUCUACCUUUUUCUACGGGAUAACGCAUGGAAACGUGUGCUAAUACCGUAUACGCCCUAUUGGGGGAAAGAUUUUAUUGGAGAGAGAUGAGCCUGCGUUGGAUUAGCUAGUUGGUAGGGUAAGAGCCUACCAAGGCUACGAUCUAUAGCUGGUCUGAGAGGACGAUCAGCCACACUGGGACUGAGACACGGCCCAGACUCCUACGGGAGGCAGCAGUGGGGAAUAUUGGACAAUGGGGGCAACCCUGAUCCAGCCAUGCCGCGUGAGUGAAGAAGGCCUUAGGGUUGUAAAGCUCUUUCGCCGGAGAAGAUAAUGACGGUAUUCGGAGAAGAAGCCCCGGCUAACUUCGUGCCAGCAGCCGCGGUAAUACGAAGGGGGCGAGCGUUGUUCGGAAUAACUGGGCGUAAAGGGCGCGUAGGCGGGCGAUUAAGUUAGAGGUGAAAUCCCAGGGCUCAACCUUGGAACUGCCUUUAAUACUGGUUGUCUAGAGUUUAGGAGAGGUGAGUGGAAUUCCGAGUGUAGAGGUGAAAUUCGUAGAUAUUUCGGAGGAACACCGGUGGCGAAGGCGGCUCACUGGCCUGAUACUGACGCUGAGGCGCGAAAGCGUGGGGAGCAAACAGGAUUAGAUACCCUGGUAGUCCACGCCGUAAACGAUGAGUGCUAGCUGUUGGGUGGUUUACCCAUUCAGUGGCGCAGCUAACGCAUUAAGCACUCCGCCUGGGGAGUACGGUUCCCAAGAUUAAAACUCAAAGGAAUUGACUGGGGACCUGUACAUGCUGUUGGAGUAUGUGGUUUUAAUUCGAUGCAACGCGCAGAACCUUACCAGUCCUUGACAUGGUUAGGGACGAAUAUCAGAGAUGGAAUUUUUCUUUUUCUGGAGACUCUUUUCACAG
rnacentral:rRNA from 1 species